GAAAUGCGAUAAGUAAUGUGAAUUGCAGAAUUCAGUGAAUCAUCGAAUCUUUGAACGCACAUUGCGCCCUCUGGUAUUCCGGGGGGCAUGCCUGUUCGAGCGUCAUUUCACCACUCAAGCAUUGCUUGGUAUUAGGCACUCGUCCGUCCCUCGUGGCGGGCGGGCCUCAAAACCUUCGGCGAAGUCACACCGGCUUUGGGCGCAGUAGAAUCAUCUUAAACGCUCUGUGAGUCCGGUCGAGUCUUUUGCCGCGAAAGAUUCUCACGAAUCAUCCUUUUUAAAGGUUGACCUCGGAUCAGGUAGGGAUACCCGCAUCGAUGAAGAAC
rnacentral:misc_RNA from 1 species